GGAGAUAUUGCCAUUUAAGGGGAAGACGAACAACAAAUGCUUGCAAAGUCUGUUUCUCUCCCUCCCUCCCUCUGCUUUUAUUUAUUUAUUAUAUCAUCACCAUGAUGUGAUGAUGGGGCUGCAGCUCUGUAGAGUGUAGAGUAUGAUACAGAUGACCUUUUUUGUAGCACCAAACAAAGGAUCAAAAAUAUGUGGGACAACAGACCGCUACCAACACGAACAAUCUAGGAGUGGCACAAAACAUUUAAUUCAACAGAAGAAGAAAUUAAAAGAGAACGGGAAGGAGGAGAAGAAGAAGGAGAAAAAAUAUAUAGGUUUUUGAACAUGUAACGGUGACCAAGAAUUAGAGCUCAGGAUUUAUACGGGUCGGCGAAAGAAGGAAAAGAAUCUUUGUAGUAGUAGUAGUCUGUUUGCGGGCGGUUGGUUACCGGGACGGCUCCACGGCGGCCGGGCCGUACAGGUCGAAGGGCGCCCAGAGCGCGUCCAGCGGGCACGGCCGCCCGCCGCCCAGCCGCGCCCACGGCUUGCCGGACCCCGACCAAUGCAGCAGGCUCACCGGCCCCGGGUGGAGGUCGCGGCAGCUGCCCAGGAUGUUGUCGCCGCCCAGGCCGUGCUGGUUCCACCGGUGCUCGAUCGCCGCCACCUGCCCCGCGAACACCAGCAGGAACGGCGGCAGCGACCCCAGCUCGUAGAUGCGCCCAGGCGGCGACUUCUGUAUCUCCAUCCACCGCUCGAUGCGCCGGGUGUAGCCCGCGCGCCGCCACCGCGCCAGGUCGAGCACCAUCACGCCGGUGUUGAAGUAGCACGGCCGCCUGCCCUCGAACGUCCCGGCGAACUGCUCCUCCGACCAGAACCGGUCGGUGAAGUACUUGGUGAAGUUGGCGUGGCAGUACUCCGGCGCGCCCACGGUGCGGCCGCCGAGGUCGGUGCGCCAGAGCUUGGCCACGUCGUCGACGAGCACGAGGUCGGAGUCCAGGUAGAUGACGCGGCGCACGCAGGGCUCCAGGAGGUCGGCGAGGUAGUUGCGGGCGUAGUUGAGCGGCUCCUCCAGCGCCUGCCGCACCGACGACGAGAUGAGCCCCCGGACGCGCGCGGGGUCGAAGUAGUAGACUUUGAACCGGAGCUGCGGGAAGACGGCGCGGACGAGGUCGCCCAGGCUCGGGUCGGAGACGAGGAAGUGGAAGAAGACGCUCUCCGGGCACAUGGCGUGCUGGACCACGGAAUGGACCGCGGCGACCGAGCCCCUCAGGUAGCCCUCGUCCAGAGUAAUCGCGAUGUGGACGAGCGAGGGGUCGCAGACAUUGCCGGUGGCGUUGCCGCAGUCAGCGGCAUUGCGGAAGGACGGCGCGCGGCGGAAGGGGAGGCCCCUCGCGCCCCCGGCGAUCUGGCCGGGGAAGCGGACGUGGCUGUCGAACUGCGACGACCGGAUGGCCUCGGCGGGCGGGAAGGACUGCAGCGACGGCGACAAGACCACCAUGAGCAUGGCGGCGGAGAGGAAGCCGGACAGGCGCGCUGCCCAUAGCAUCGCGCUCCGCCGAGUGCGUUGCCACCGCUUCCUGGCGCCGGGCCGGCCACGGUUGCUGGUCGACCACCCCAAGACGGCGUGCAGGUGGGCGAUGGCGUCGUCCAGCGGCAGCGUGGCCAGGGCUGGUGGCUAGGAGCGAUAAAAGGGGGCAGCUUGCGGCAGAGUCAGCGCGGAUACCUCGCCUCCUCCUCCUUCCUCCUCCUCCUCAACUGGAUCGCCUCGUGGUUUCUUGGCUGGCGGAUCGGCGCGUGGAGUGGGGGAGAAGCGAGAGGGCAUCCAGGCGAGGCGUGGUAAUGGAGAUUGGAGAGUGGGGUUGAGAAUAGGAGGCGACGGCACCCACCAACCCACCGCGGCCACAGGCGAGGCGAUUCCCCCGUGCGACUGCUCGGCUUUUUCUGCAGCGGCGGUGGCGUGGUGGCGGCGGCUUAUUGUAUCUGCCGCUUCGGUUUUAUUACCCCUGCGCUCUGAUUUUGGGGAUUCGGGGGUUUAUCUCUCUCGCCGUGCCCUCUUUUCCUCCCGCCUUUGAGAAGGAGCGGCGUGGGAGAGAGGAGAGGACGGGAGGCAGCAGCGGCUCAGCUCACGAAUCACUUUGCUCAAUUUUACCACUGCUUCCACUUGUUUAAAAAUAUAAUUGUUUUCCGAACCAGAUUUUGUAUUUCAUGCGACAUUUCUGUACUGUUUUGCAAAUUUGUUAGGGUGUGGCUAGGUCUCAUUCAAGCAAUAUAGCAUAUAAGAAGAAAAAAGAAAAACUAAAAAGAACUUUUUUGCAUUAAUCUCCAUGCAAAAUCAAAGGAAUACGAAAUCUCGGUCAACUGAGACUUAUCAAAACUGAAUUUGUUAAUAUGUAGCAUUUGAUUUUUUUUUGCACACACACAUCGCAUGUUAAAAAAGGUGUUUUUAAAAACGAAAAUGUUAUCAGUCGGUGAUAAUCCCGGCGAAUGUCUUCCCUGCCGUUGCACGGAUCUUGGCCAACACCAUGUACACUCUCUUUUUAUUUUCCAAAAAUAAGAUGAACAAUGUGCACGACGGAGGUUUGAACUCCCAACAUUUUGCUAAGGUGGCGGGCACGAUAGCCAGUGGACUGACGGAGGGGGUUCUGAAAUCUUGAGUUUAAGCCGCUAUAUAUAUCUUUGAAGUUGUUUUGUGUUUUAAUUUGAUUUUUUUAUUUUGAAAAUUUGGCCAAAUUUAUUUCCCGAAAAUCCUGAUUUUAAUUACUAAGAGGAUGGCAUUUUUAUUACUGAGAGGGCGGCAAUUUUUUUAUUUAAGAGGGUGACAUUUUUAACUUUUCGAGUCUGACAUUUUUUCCUUAAUAGGAUGGCAUUUUAUUAUUAAGAGAAUGACAUUUUUAUUAUUAAUGUCAUGGUAAUUUUUAUUGGCCCUGGAAAUUCAUGUGUGUGCAGGUUUUAGUUACUAAAUUUUAAGAUAAUGGCAUUUUUAAUUACUAAAUUUAAAGAGGAUGGCAUUUUUUAUUACCAUAAGAGGAUGGCAUAUUUAUUUAUUUAUGGGAUAGCAUUUUAUUUUUUAGGGGGAUUGCAUGUUUAUUUUUGCAAAGAUGGUAUUCCUAUUUUAAUGGGAUGACAUUGUUAAUAUUAAGAGGAUGGCAUUUUUAUAAUUAAUGGCAUGACAAUUUUUUAUUGACCAUCGCAAUUCAUGUUGUGUGAAUUUCUUUUGUUUUUUAAUAAAAUGAAUAUAUAGAAUCUAAUUUUGGGGCUUAUCCAUAUGAAACAGUUUUUAUGUAGAGGAUGUUAGUUUUAAACGUUUAUCAUGGCAUUUCCAUUUUGUAGAUCACGCGAAUUUUUUUUUAUCAUACUUAUUGUAAAUUUAUAAAUUGAAGAUAUGGAAGCUCUUAUAAAGUAGAAUGACAUUUUUUACAUAAAUGAGAUCAUUACAUUUUGGGUGUUUUCUUCUGUUGCUAAGAUUGUUUUAAUAAAAAAAAGUUGACUUUUGGGAACGAUGGGUAGUGCCACACUGAACGAAUCGCUGGAGGUUACUCAACAGAGCGAGCGACUUGAAUGUUCUCUGAAGGGCUCCUUCAUGGCGGUUCCUAUAUGGCGCGUAGGUGGCUGCGAUUUUGCUUUUAUGUUUUUAUGUUUCCCAUCCCCUUAAAAAAUAUAAAUAAGAAUACCAUCUUUCCAAUAUAGAAUGACAUUCUUAUUUUUCUGUUUUUACUUUUGCAAAGGGUAUUCUUAUUUCAAUGGGAUGGUAUUCUUAUUUUUUCCCAGGUUUUUUUUUCUCAUUUUUCAAUUUUGUUUUCAUGUGUUUUGCUUUUUCAUUUCGUUUUUUUAGUUUCUUUUCUUUUCCUAUUUUUGAUUUCUCCUUCAUGUCCGUUUCUUCUUCUUUGUUUUUAUUUUUUUUCGUUUUUCUGAACAUUUUUCUAAAAUCUUGAACAUUUUUUUGUUCACUGAAUUAAAAAAAUGUUCAUGAAUUCAAAAUUUGUUCAUCAUAUUCAAAAUUUGUUCACCAUAAUUUUAAACAAUGUUCAUCAAAUCAAAAAAAUGUUCAUUCAAUUUUCAAAAAGUUUACUCGAUUUUCAAAAAAGGGUUCUUGAAUUGAGAAUAUGAUCAUCAAAUUCAAAAAAUGAAAAAUGUUCAUCGUAUUCAAAAUUUGUUUAUCCUAUUUUUUUAAAAUAUUCAUCAAAUUCAGAAAUUGUUCAUCCAUUUUUUAAAAAAUUCAUCGGAUUUUUCUAGAAAAUGUUCUUGAAUUGAGAAUUUGUUCAUCAAGUUCGAAAAAUGUUCUUCAAAGUCAAAAUUUGUUCAUAUAAUAAAAUUGUUCAUCAAUAUCCAAAUUCACGAACUUUUGUUCAAAUUCGUGAACUUUAUUCGAAUUCAGGGACAUUUUUUGGCUCCAUAAUUUUUUUGAAAUUUGAAUUUUUUUGAAAUCCGGAAUUAUUUUAUAAAAAUAAAAAAGAUGAAAAAAAACAAGAAAAUAGGGGCCCCCCGCCGCUCAUUAGCCGGCCUAAAAUGGGCGGGCGGGGACUGCGAGGGGUGCGCGUGUUGCACCAUAUAGGAGCUCCCCUCCUUCAUGAGCCAAGGAAUCAUUCGCUGAAGUUCAUCCCCCUCCCCCGAGCUGAUGUGCCCUAGAUAUUAGGGUUCUUUAAAAUAUAUAGGUAGUUCAUGUUCAUACAAUGAUAGUUGUUCAAACUGACAUGUUGCCAAAAUUCAGACAAAGACAUAGACAAAUUGUUAAAACUAAAUAAUUGUUAAAACAGUGAUAGUUGUUCAAACAAUGAUAGUUCACUCAUGGUUGCCAAUUGCCAAAACAUAAAUGUUGUCAAUUGCCAAGACAUAAAUGGUUCACGCAUAUAUGCAAUAUAGGUAGUUCAUGUUCAUAGGUAGCCUCACACCCACAUCAUAGGUAAUCUAAACUUACAUACAAACAUAAGUUAACUACUACUACUAAAUGUAUCUUUUCUUUGGUAAACCGCCGCAACUUCUUCACUUCAGUUGGGUGAAACGGUGAGGGAUGGGUGUGCCAGCCAUGCGUGGAGAGCGGCGCUCAGGACCUGAAUGUUGCAGACCCGUUGACUAAGCCUCUUCCACGAGCAAAACAUGAUCAACACCAAGACUUCAUGGGUGUUAGAAUCAUUACUAUGUAAUCCAGAUUAUUGACUCUAGUGCAAGUGGGAGACUGAAGGAAAUAUGCCCUAGAGGCAAUAAUAAAGUUGUUAACUUAUAUCAUGAUAAAUGUUUAUUAUUCGUGCUAGAAUUGUAUUAACCGGAAACUUAAUACAUGUGUGGAUACAUAGACAAAACACAGUACCCCUAGUAAGCCUCUACUAGACUAGCUCGUUAAUCAAAGAUGAUUAAGUUCCUAACCAUAGACAUGUGUUGUCAUUUGAUGAACGAGAUCACAUCAUUAGGAGAAUGAUGUGAUGGACAAGAUCCAUCCGUUUGUUGGGGAACGUAGUAAUUUAAAAAAAAAUCCUACGCACACGCAAGAUCAUGGUGAUGCAUAGCAACGAGAGGGGAGAGUGUUGUCCACGUACCCUCGUAGACCGAAAGCGGAAGCGUUAGAACAACGCGGUUGAUGUAGUCGUAUGUCUUCACGAUCCGACCGAUCCAAGUACCGAACGCACGGCACUUCCGAGUUCAGCACACAUUCAGCUCGAUGACGUCCCUCGAAUUCACGAUCCAGCAGAGCUUUGAGGGAGAGUUCCUUCAGCACGACGACGUGAUCACGGUGAUGAUGAUGCUACCGACGCAGGGCUUCGCCUAAGCACCGCUAUGAUAUGACCGAGGCGGAUUAUGGUGGAGGGGGGCACCGCACACGGCUAAAUGAUCAACUGAUCAACUUGUGUGUCUAUGGGGUGCCCCCUCCCCCGUGUAUAAAGGAAUGGAGGAGGGGAGGGCCGGCCCUCCUAAGCGCGCCCCAAGGGGAGUCCUACUGAUCCACACAUGUAUUAACUGAUCCACACGUGUAUUAAGUUUCCGGUUAAUACAAUUCUAGCAUGAAUAAUAAACAUUUAUCAUGAUAUAAGUUAACAACUUUAUUAUUGCCUCUAGGGCAUAUUUCCUUCAGUCUCCCACUUGCACUAGAGUCAAUAAUCUAGAUUACACAAUAAUGAUUCUAACACCCAUGGAGUCUUGGUGCUGGUCAUGUUUUGCUCGUGAGAGAGGCUUAGUCAACGGGUCUGCAACAUUCAGAUCCGUAUGUAUCUUGCAAAUCUCUAUGUAUCCCUCCUUGACUUGGUCGCAGAUGGAAUUGAAGCGUCUCUUGAUGUGCUUGGUUCUCUUGUGAAAUCUGGAUUCCUUUGCCAAGGCAAUUGCACCAGUAUUGUCAUAAAAGAUUUUCAUUGGACCCGAUGCACUAGGUAUGACACCUAGAUCAGAUAUGAACUCCUUCAUCCAGACUCCUUCAUUUGCUGCUUCCGAAGCAGCUAUGUACUCCGCUUCACACGUAGAUCCCGCCACGACACUUUGCUUAGAACUGCACCAACUGACAGCUCCACCGUUCAAUAUAAAUACAUAUCCGGUUUGUGACUUAGAGUCAUCCGGAUCAGUGUCAAAGCUUGCAUCGACGUAACCAUUUACAACGAGCUCUUUGUCACCUCCAUAAACGAGAAACACAUCCUUGGUCCUUUUUAGGUAUUUUAGGAUGUUCUUGAUCACUGUCCAGUGAUCCACUCCUGGAUUACUUUGGUACCUCCCUACUAAGCUAAUAGCAAGGCACACAUCAGGUCUGGUACACAGCAUUGCAUACAUGAUAGAGCCUAUGGCUGAAGCAUAGGUAACAUCUUUCAUUUUCUCUCUAUCUUCUGCAGUGGUCGGGCAUUGAGUCUAACUCAACUUCACACCUUGUAACACAGGCAAGAACCCUUUCUUUGCUUGAUCCAUUUUGAACUUCUUCAAAACUUUAUCUAGGUAUGUGCUUUGUGAAAGUCCAAUUAAGCGUCUUGAUCUAUCUCUAUAGAUCUUGAUGCCCAAUAUAUAAGCAGCUUCACCGAGGUCUUUCAUUGAAAAACUCUUAUUCAAGUAUCCUUUUAUGCUAUCCAGAAAUUCUAUAUCAUUUCCAAUCAACAAUAUGUCAUCCACAUAUAAUAUUAGAAAUGCUACAGAGCUCCCACUCACUUUCUUGUAAAUACAGGCUUCUCCAAAAGUCUGUAUAAAACCAUAUGCUGAUCACAGUAUCAAAACGUUUAUUCCAACUCCGAGAUGCUUGCACCAGUCCAUAGAUGGAUCGCUGGAGCUUGCACACUUUGUUAGCAUCCUUUGGAUCGAUAAAACCUUCAGGUUGCAUCAUAUACAACUCUUCUUCCAGAAAUCCAUUCAGGAAUGCAGUCUUUACAUCCAUUUGUCAAAUUUCAUAAUCAUAAAAUACGGCAAUUGCUAACAUGAUUCGGACGGACUUAAGCAUCACUACGGGUGAGAAGGUCUCAUCGUAGUCAACUCCUUGAACUUGUCGAAAACCUUUCGCAACAAGUCGAGCUUUGUAGACAGUAACAUAUCGUCAACGUCAGUCUUCUUCUUGAAGAUCCAUUUAUUCUCGAUGGCUUGACGAUCAUCGGGCAAGUCAACCAAAGUCCACACUUUGUUCUCAUACAUGGAUCCCAUCUCAGAUUUCAUGGCCUCAAGCCAUUUCGCGGAAUCUGGGCUCAUCAUCGCUUCCUCAUAGUUCGUAGGUUCGUCAUGGUCAAGUAACAUGACCUCUAAAACAGGAUUACCGUACCACUCUGGUGCGGAUCUUACUCUGGUUGACCUACGAGGUUCGGUAGUAAUUUGAUCUGAAGUUACAUGAUCAUCAUCAUUAGCUUCCUCACUAAUUGGUGUAGGAGUCACAGGAACAUAUUUCUAUGAUGGACUACUUUCCAAUAAGGGAGCAGGUACAUUUACCUCAUCAAGUUCUACUUUCCUCCCAUUCACUUCUUUCGAGAGAAACUCCUUCUCUAGAAAGGAUCCAUUCUUAGCAACGAAUGUCUUGCCUUCGGAUCUAUGAUAGAAGGUGUACCCAACAGUCUCCUUUGGGUAUCCUAUGAAGACACAUUUCUCCAAUUUGGGUUCGAGCUUAUCAGGUUGAAGCUUUUUCACAUAAGCAUCGCAGCCCCAAACUUUAAGAAACAACAACUUUGGUUUCUUGCCAAACCACAAUUCAUAAGGCGUCGUCUCAACUGAUUUAGAUGGUGCCCUAUUUAAUUCGAAUGCAGCCGUCUCUAAAGCAUAACCCAAAAACGAUAGCGGUAAAUUAGUAAGAGACAUCAUAGAUCGCACCAUAUCUAGUAAAGUACGAUUACGACGUUCGGACAACCAUUACGCUGUGGUGUUCCAGGUGGCGUGAGUUGCGAAACUAUUCGCAUUGUUUCGAAUGAAGACCAAACUCGUAACUCAAAUAUUCUCCUCCACGAUCAGAUUUUAAAAACUUUAUUUUCUUGUUACGAUGAUUUUCUACUUCACUCUGAAAUUCUUUGAACUUUUCAAAUGUUUCAGACUUAUGUUUGAUCAAGUAGAUAUACCCAUAUCUGCUCAAAUCAUCUGUGAAGGUGAAAAAAUAACGAUACCCGCCGCGUGCCUCAACAUUCAUCGGACCACAUACAUCAGUAUGUAUGAUUUCCAACAAAUCUGUUCCUCGCUCCAUUGUUCCGGAGAACGGUGUUUUAGUCAUCUUGCCCAUGAGGCAUGGUUCGCAAGUACCAAGUGAUUCAUAAUCAAGUGAUUCCAAAAGUCCAUCAGAAUGGAGUUUCUUCAUGCGCUUUACACCAAUAUGACCUAAACGGCAGUGCCACAAAUAAGUUGCACUAUCAUUAUCAACUCUGCGCUUUUGGCUUCAAUAUUAUGAAUAUGUGUAUCACUACUAUCGAGAUUCAAAAAGAAUAGACCACUCUUCAAGGGUGCAUGACCAUAAAAGAUAUUACUCAUAUAAAUAGAACAACCAUUAUUCUCUGAUUUAAAUGAAUAACUGUCUCGCAUCAAACAAGAUCCAGAUAUAAUGUUCAUGCUUAACGCUAGCACCAAAUAACAAUUAUUCAGGUCUAAAACUAAUCCCGAAGGUAGAUGUAGAGGUAGCGUGCCGACCGCGAUCACAUCGACUUUGGAACCAUUUCCCACGCGCAUCGUCACCUCGUCCUUAGCCAAUCUUUGCUUAAUCCGUAGUCCCUAUUUUGAGUUGCAAAUAUUAGCAACAGAACCAGUAUCAAAUACCCAGGCACUACUGCGAGCAUUAGUAAGGUACACAUCAAUAACAUGUAUAUCACAUAUACCUUUGUUCACCUUGCCAUCCUUCUUAUCCGCCAAAUACUUGAGGCAGUUCCGCUUCCAGUGACCAGUCCCUUUGCAGUAGAAGCACUCAGUCUCAGGCUUAGGUCCAGACUUGGGCUUCUUCACUUGAGCAGCAACUUGUUUGCCGUUCUUCUUGAAGUUCCCUUUCUUCCCUUUACCCUUUUUCUUGAAACUGGUGGUCUUGUUGACCAUCAACACUUGAUGCUCCUUCUUGAUUUCUACCUCCGCAACCUUUAGCAUCACGAAGAGCUCGGGAAUUGUCUUAUCCAUCCCUUGCAUAUUAUAGUUCAUCACGAAGCUCUUGUAUCUUGGUGGCAGUGAUUGAAGAAUUCUGUCAAUGACACUAUCAUCCAGAAGACUAACUCCCAGUUGAAUCAAGUGAUUGUUAUACCCAGACAUUUUGAGUAUAUGCUCACUGACAGAACUAUUCUCCUCCAUCUUGCAGCUGUAGAACUUAUUGGAGACUUCAUAUCUCUCAAUCCGGGCAUUUGCUUGAAAUAUUAACUUCAACUCCUGGAACAUCUCAUAUGCUUCAUGACGUUCAAAACAUCGUUGAAGUCCCGGUUCUAAGCCGUAAAGCAUGGCAUACUGAACUAUCGAGUAGUCAUCAGCUUUGCUCUGCCAGACGUUCAUAACAUCUGGCAUUUCUCCUGCAGCGGGUUUGGCACCUAGCGGUGCUUCCAGGACGUAAUUCUUCUGUGCGGCAAUGAGGAUAAUCCUCAAGUUACAGACCCAGUCCGUGUAAUUGCUACCAUCAUCUUUGAACUUUGCUUUUUCAAGGAAUGCAUUAAAAUUCAACGGAACAACAUCACGGGCCAUCUAUCUACAACAACAUAGACAUGCAAAAUACUAUCAGGUACUAAGUUCAUGAUAAAUUCAAGUUCAAUUAAUCAUAUUACUUAAGAACUCCCACUUAGACAGACAUCCCUCUAAUCAUCUAAGUGAUCACGUGAUCCAUAUCAACUAAACCAUGUCCGAUCAUCACGUGAGAUGGAGUAGUUUUCAAUGGUGAACAUCACUAUGUUGAUCAUAUCUACUAUAUGAUUCACGCUCGACCUUUCGGUCUCAGUGUUCCGAGGCCAUAUCUGCAUAUGCUAGGCUCGUCAAGUUUAACCCGAGUAUUCUGCGUGUGCAAAACUGGCUUGCACCCGUUGUAUGUGAACGUAGAGCUUAUCACACCCGAUCAUCACGUGGUGUCUCGGCACGACGAACUUUCGCAACGGUGCAUACUCAGGGAGAACACUUAUACCUUGAAAUUAGUGAGAGAUCAUCUUAUAAUGCUACCGUCGAUCUAAGCAAAAUAAGAUGCAUAAAAGAUAAACAUCACAUGCAAUCAAUAUAAGUGAUAUGAUAUGGCCAUCAUCAUCUUUUGCCUUUGAUCUCCAUCUCCAAAGCACCGUCAUGAUCACCAUCGUCACCGGCGCGACACCUUGAACUCCAUCGUAGCAUCGUUGUCGUCUCGCCAACUAUUGCUUCUACGACUAUUGCUACCGCUUAGUGAUAAAGUAAAGCAAUUACAUGGCGAUUGCAUUUCAUACAAUAAAGCGACAACCAUAUGGCUCCUGCCAGUUGCCGAUAACUCUGUUACAAAACAUGAUCAUCUCAUACAAUAAAAUUUAGCAUCAUGUCUUGACCAUAUCACAUCACAGCAUGCCCUGCAAAAACAAGUUAGACGUCCUCUACUUUGUUGUUGCAAGUUUUACGUGGCUGCUACGGGCUGAGCAAGAACCGUUCUUACCUACACAUCAAAACCACAACGAUAUUUCGUCAAGUAUGUGUUGUUUUAACCUUCACAAGGACCAGGCGUAGCCACACUCGAUUCAACUAAAGUUGGAGAAACUGACACCUGCCAGCCACCUGUGUGCGAAGCACGUCGGUAGAACCAGUCUCGCGUAAGCGUACGCGUAAUGAAAGUCCGGGCCGCUUCAUCCAACAAUACCGCCGAAUCAAAGUAUAACAUGCUGGUAAGCAGUAUGACUUGUAUCGCCCACAACUCACUUGUGUUCUACUCGUGCAUAUAACAUCUACGCAUAAACCUGGCUCGGAUGCCACUGUUGGGGAACAUAGUAAUUUCAAAAAAAUUCCUACGCACACGCAAGAUCAUGGUGAUGCAUAGCAACGAGAGGGGAGAGUGUUGUCCACGUACCCUCCUAGACUGAAAGCGGAAGCGUUAGAACAACGCGGUUGAUGUAGUCGUACGUCUUCAUGAUCCGACCGAUCCAAGUACCGAACGCACGGCAACCUCCGAGUUCAGCACAUGUUCAGCUCGAUGACGUCCCUCGAAUUCACGAUCCAGCAGAGCUUCGAGGGAGAAUUCCGUCAGCACAACGACGUGAUGAUGGUGAUGAUGAUGCUACCGACACAGGGCUUCGCCUAAGCACCGCUACGAUAUGACCAAGGUGGAUUAUGGUGGAGGGGGGCACCGCACACGGCUAAAAGAUCAACUGAUCAACUUGUGUGUCUAUGGGGUGCCCCCUCCCCCGUAUAUAAAGGAGUGGAGGAGGGGGAGGGGCCGGCCCUCCUAGGCGCGCCCCAAGGGGAGUCCUACUCCCACCGGGAGUAGGGCUCCAACCCUUCCAAGAGUAGGAGUAGGAGAGAGGGAAGGAGGAGAGAGGGGGAAGGAAAGGGGGGCGCCGCCCCCCUCCUUGUCCAAUUCGGACUAGAGGGGGAGGGGGCGCGCGGCCUGCCUUGGCCGCCCCUCCUCUUCUCCACUAAGGCCCAAUAGGCCCAUUACACUCCCCGGGGGGUUCAGGUAACCCCCCCUGUACUCCGGUAUUUGUCCGAACUUGCCCGGAACCCUUCCGAAGUCCAAACAUAGUCAUCCAAUAUAUUGAUCUUUAUGUCUCGACCAUUUCGAGACUCCUCGUCAUGUCCGUGAUCAUAUCCGGGACUCCGAACUACCUUCGGUACAUCAAAACACAUAAACUCAUAAUAUCGAUCGUCACCGAACGUUAAGCGUGCGGACCCUAUGGGUUCGAGAACUAUGUAGACAUGACCGAGACACGUUUCCGGUCAAUAACCAAUAGCGGAACCUGGAUGCUCAUAUUGGCUCCUACAUAUUCUACGAACAUCUUUAUCGGUCAAACCGCAUAACAACAUAUGUUUUCCCUUUGUCAUCGGUAUGUUACUUGCCCGAGAUUCGAUCGUCGGUAUCUCAAUACCUAGUUCAAUAUUGUUACCGACAAGUCUCUUUACUCAUUCCGUAAUACAUCAUCCCACAACUAACUCAUUAGUUGCAUUGCUUGCAAGGCUUAUAGUGAUGUGCAUUAUCGAGAGGGCCCAGAGAUACCUCUCCGACAAUCGGAGUGACAAAUCCUAAUCUCGAUCUAUGCCAACUCAAUAAGUACCAUCGGAGACACCUGGAGAGCACCUUUAUAAUCACCCAGUUACGUUGUGACGUUUGGUAGCACACAAAGUGUUCCUCCGGUAUUCGGGAGUUGCAUAAUCUCAUAGUCAUAGGAACAUGUAUAAGUCAUGAAGAAAGCAAUAGAAAUAUACUAAACGAUCGAAUGCUAAGCUAACGGAAUGGGUCAAGUCAAUCACAUCAUUCUCUAAUGAUGUGAUCCCGUUAAUAAAAUGACAACUCAUGUCUAUGGCCAGGAAACUUAACCAUCUUUGAUUCAACGAGCUAGUCAAGUAGAGGCAUACUAGUGACACUCUGUUUGUCUAUGUAUUCACACAUGUACUAAGUUUCCGGUUAAUACAAUUCUAGCAUGAAUAAUAAACAUUUAUCAUGAUAUAAGGAAAUAUAAAUAACAACCUUAUUAUUGCCUCUAGGGCAUAUUUCCUUCAGUCUCCCACUUUCACUAGAGUCAAUAAUCUAGAUUACACAGUAAUGAUUCUAACACCCAUGGAGUCUUGGUGUUGAUCAUGUUUUGCUCGUGAGAGAGGCUUAGUCAACGGGUCUGCAACAUUCAGAUCCGUAUGUAUCUUGCAAAUCUCUAUGUCUCCCUCCUUGACUUGGUCGCGGAUGGAAUUGAAGAGUUUCUUGAUGUGCUUGGUUCUCUUGUGAAAUCUGGAUUCCUUUGCCAAGGCAAUUGCACCAGUAUUGUCACAAAAGAUUUUCAUUGGACCCGAUGCAUAAGGGGACAGACCAGCCCCUAGGGGGCUAGUGCGCCCCAUGUUGGCCAAAAUAAGGGGGAAGGAAAGAGGGGAUGAGAGAAAGGAAGGGGAGAAAUUCCGCCUCCCCCUUCCUUCUCUCCCCCUCCUCCUUCCUUUCCCCUCCGGAUGAAUAUGGAAGGGGGGAGGCCGAAUUGGGAGGCGCCCCCUUGGCUGCCUCUUCUCCCCUCCAACCUAUAUAUAUGGGGGGCACCGCUAGGACACACAUCAACAGUUGUUAGCCGUGUGCGGCGCCCCCCUCCACAGUUUACGCCUCCGGUCAUAUUCACGUAGUGCUUAGGCGAAGCCCUGCGCGGAUCACUUCACCAUCACCGUCACCACACCGUCGUGCUGAUGAAACUCUCCCUCGACACUUUGCUAGAUCAAGAGUUCAAGGGACGUCAUCGAGCUGAGCGUGUGCAGAACUUGUAGGUGCCGUACGUUCAGUGCUUGAUCGGUCGGAACGAGAGGAAGUUCGACUACAUCAACCGCGUUGUUAAACGCUUCCGCUUUCGGUCUAUGAGGGUACAUGGACACACUCCCCCUCUCAUUGCUAUGCUUCUCCUAGAUAGAUCUUGUGUGAGCAUAGGAUUUUGUUUUGAAAUUGCAUGCUACAUUCGCCAACAGUGGUAUCAGAGCGAGGUUUAUGCGUGGAUGAUAUGCAUGAGUAGAACACAAAUGUGGGCGGUGAUCAUCAAACUGCUUACCACCAAUGUCUUAUUUUGAUUUGGCAGUAUUGUUGGAUGAAGCGGCUUGGACCAACCUUACAUGACCACGUUCAUGAGAUCGGUUCCACCGACACACAUGCAACUAGUUUUGCAUAAAGGUGGCUGGCGGGUGUCUGUUUCUCCAACUUUAGUUGAAUCAAAUUUGACUGCGACCGGUGCUUGUUGAAGGUUAAAACAACAAACUUGAUAAAUCACCAUUGUGGUUUUGAUGCGUAGGUAAGAACGGUUCUUACUAGAAGCCCGUAGCAGCCACGUAAAACUUGCAACAACAAAGUAGAGGAAUUCUAACUUGUUUUUGCAGGGCAUGUUGUGAUGUGAUAUGGUCAAUACAUGAUGUGAUAUACAUUAUUGUAUGAGAUGAUCAUGUUUUGUAGAAGUUAUCGACAACUGGUAGGAGCCUUAUGGUUGUCGCUUUAUUGUAUGAAAUACAAACGCCAUGUAAUUGUUUUACUUUAUCACUAUGCGUUAGCGAUAGUUGUAGAAGCAAUAGUUGGUGAGACGACAACGAUGCUACGAUGGAGAUCAAGGUGUCAAGCCGGUGACAAUGGAAAUCAUGACGGUGCUUUGGAGAUGGAGAUCAAAGGCACAAGAUGAUGAUGGCCAUAUCAUGUCACAUAUUUUGAUUGCAUGUGAUGUUUAUCUUUUAUGCAUCUUAUUUUGCUUAGUACGACGGUAGCAUUAUAAGAUGAUCCCUUACAAAAAUUUCAAGGCAUAAAUGUUCUCCCUGAGUAUGCACCGUUGCGACAGUUCGUCGUGCUAAGACACCACGUGAUGAUCGGGUGUGAUAGGCUCUACGUUCACAUACAACGGGUGCAAGACAUUUUUGCACAGGUUAAACUUGACAAGCCUAGCAUGUACAGACAUGGCCUCGGAACACUGGAGACCGAAAGGUCGAAUGUGAAUCAUAUAGUAGAUAUGAUCAACAUAGAGAUAUUCACCAUUGAAGACUACUCCAUCUCACAUGAUGAUCGGACAUGGUUUAGUUGAUAUGGAUCACGUGAUCAUUUAGAUGAUUAAUUGAACUUAAUUUAUCAUGAACUUAGUCCUGAUAGUAUUUGCAUAUCUAUGUUGUAGAUCAAUAGCUCGCGAAUAGGUCUCCUAUUUUAUUUUUGAUAUGUACCUAGAGAAAACUAAGUUGAAAGAUGAUAGUAGCAAUAAUGCGGACUGGGUCCAUGAUCUGAGGAUUAUCCUCAUUGCUGCACAGAAGAAUUAUGUCCUUGAUGCACCACUAGGUGACGAACCUAUUGCGGGAGCAGAUGCACACGUUAUGAACGUUUUGCAAGCUCGGUAUGAUGACUACUUGAUAGUUUAGUGCACCAUGCUUUACGGCUUAGAACCAGGACUUCAAAAAUAUUUGAACGCGAUGGAGCAUAUGAGAUGUUCCAAGAACUGAAAUUGGUAUUUCAGACUCAUGCCCGUGUCGAGAGGUAUGAGACCUCUGACAAGUACUUUGCCUACAAGAUGGAGGAGAAUAGCUCAGCUAGUGAGCAUGUGCUCAGAAUGUCCGGGUACUACAAUCGCUUGAAUCAAGUGGGAGUUAAUCUUCUAGAUAAGAUAGUGAUUGAGAGAGUUCUCUAGUCACUAUCACCAAGUUACUAGAACUUCGUGGUGAACUAUAAUAUGCAAGGGAUCGAUUCCCAAGCUCUUCGCGAUGCUGAAAUUAGCGAAUGUAGAAAUCAAUAAAUAGCAUCAAGUGUUGAUGCUUAAUAAGACCACUAGUUUCAAGAAAAAGGGCAAGGGAAAGAAAGGGAAACUUCAAAAAGAAUGGCAAGAAAGUUGCCACUCCCAUGAAGAAGCCGAAAGCUAGACCCAAGCCUGAAACUGAGUGCUUCUACUUCAAAGGAAAUGGUCACUGGAAGUGGAAUUGCCUAGAUACGUGGCGGAUAAGAAGGAUGGCAAAGUGAACAAAGGUAUAUUUGAUAUACAUGUUAUUGAUGUGUACUUUACUAGUGUUUAUAGCAACCCCUCGGUAUUUGAUACUGGUUCAAUUGCUAAGAGUAGUAACUCGAAACAGGAAUUGCAAAAUAAACAGAGACUAGUUAAGGGCGAGGUGAUGAUGUGUGUUGGAAGUGAUUCCAAGGUUGAUAAGAUCACCAUAGCACACUACCUUUACCUUCGGGAUUAGUGUGGAACCUAAAAUAAAUGUUAUUUGGUGUUUGCAUUGAGCAUGAAUAUGAUUGGAUCAUGUUUAUUGCAAUACGGUUAUUCAUUUAAGUCAAAGAAUAGUUGUUCUUCUAUUUACAUGAAUGAAACCUUCUAUGGUCAUACACUCAAUAUAAAUGGUUUACUGAAUCUCGACCGUGGUGAUACACAUAUUCAUAAUAUUGAUGCCAAAAGAUGCAAAGUUGAUAAUGAUAGUGCAACAUAUUUGUGGCACUGCCAUUUAGGUCAUAUUGGUGUAAAGCACAUGAAGAAACUCCAUGCGGAUGGACUUUUGGAAUCACUUGAUUAUGAAUCAUUUGAUGCUUGCGAACCAUGCAUCAUGGGCAAGAUGACUAAAACUCCGUUCUCUGGAACAAUGAAGUGAGCUAAUGGCUUAUUGGAAAUAAUACAUACCGAUGUAUGCGGUUCGAUGAGUGUUGAGGCUCGCGGCAGUUAUUGUUAUUUUCUGACCUUCACUGAUGAUUUGAGCAGAUAUGGGUAUAUCUACUUAAUGAAACACAAGUGUGAAACAUUUGAAAAGUUCAAAAAAAUUCAAAGUGAAGUGGAGAAUCAUCGUAACAAGAAAAUAAAGUUUCUGCGAUCUGAUCGCGGAGGCGAAUAUUUGAGUUAUGAGUUUGGCCUUCAUUUAAAACAAUAUGGAAUAGUUUCACAACUCACGCCACCUGGAACACCACGGCAUAAUGGUGUGUCCGAACGUCGUAACCGUACUUUAUUAGAUAUGGUGCGAUCUAUGAUGUCUCUUACCGAUUUACCACUAUCGUUUUGGGGUUAUGCAUUAGAGACAACUACAUUCACUUUAAAUAGGGCACCAUCUAAAUCCAUUGAGACGACACCGUAUGAAUUAUGGUUUGGCAAGAAACCUAAGUUGGCGUUUCUUAAAGUUUGGGGUUGCGAUGCUUAUGUGAAAAAGUUUCAACCUAACAAGUGGUACAUCUCCAACGUAUCUAUAAUUUUUUAUUGUUCCAUGCUAUUAUAUUAUCUGUUUUGGAUGUUUUAUAUGAAAUAAUAUGCUAUUUUAUAUGAUUUUUGGGUCUAACCUAUUAACAUAGAGCCCAAUGCCAGUUUUUGUUUUUUCCUUGUUUUAGAAUUUCACAGAAAAGGAAUACCAAACGGAAUAAAACUUUCGCGAUGAUUUUUCUUGGACCAGAAGACACCCAGGAGACUUGGAGUGCAAGUCAGAAGAGCAACGAGGUGGCCACAAGGGUGGAGGGCGCGCCUAGGGGGUAGGGCGCGCCCCCCGACCUUGUGGGUCCCUCGUAGACCCCUGGCCUAGAUCUUCCUCCUAUAUAUACUCUUAUACCCUAAAAACAUCCAGGGGAGCCACGAAACCACUUUCCCACCGCCGCAACCUUCGGUACUCGUGAGAUACUAUCUUGGGGCAUUUUCCGGCAUCCUGCCGGAGGGGGAUUCGAUCACGGAGGGCUUCUACAUCAACACAAUUGCUUCUCCGAUGAAGCGUGAGUAGUUUACUUCAGACCUAUAGGUCCAUAGCUAGUAGCUAGAUGGCUUCUUCUCUCUCUUUGAUUCUCAAUACAAAGUUCUCCUCGAUGUUCUUGGAGAUCUAUUCGAUGUAAUACUCUUUUGCGGUGUGUUUGCCGAGAUCCGAUGAAUUGUGGAUUUAUGAUCAGCUUAUCUAUGAAUAUUAUUUGAAUCUCCUCUGGAUUCUUAUAUGCAUGAUUUGAUAUCUUUGCAAGUCUCUUCGAACUAUUGUUUUGGUUUGGCCAACUAGAUAGGUUUUUCUUGCAAUGGGAGAAGUGCUUAGCUUUGGUUUCAAUAUUGCGGUGUCCUUUCCUAGUGACAGCAGGGGCAGCAAGUUACGCAUUGUAUUGUUUCCAUCGAGGAUAGAGAGAUGGGGUUUUCAUCAUAUUGCUUGAGUUAAUUCCUCUACAUCAUGUCAUCUUGCUUAAUGCGUUACUCUGUUCUUUACGAACUUAAUACUCUAGAUGCAUGCUGGAUAGCGGUCGAUGUGUGGAGUAAUAGUAGUAGAUGCAGAAUCGUUUCGGUCUACUUGACAUGGACAUGAUGCCUAUAUUCAUGAUCAUUGCCUUAGAUAUCGUCAUAACUUUGCGCUUUUCUAUCAAUUGCUCGGCAGUAAUUUGUUCACCCAUCGUAAUAAUUUCUAUCUUGAGAGAAGCCUCUAGUGAAACCUAUGGCCCCCGGGUCUAUUUUACAUCAUAUUAGUUUCCCGUCAACUUGCCAAUUUCCGUCACCGUUUCCUUAUUUUGCAAUCUUUACUUUCCGUUCCAUAAACUAAAAAUACCAAAAAUAUUACUUCACCAUUUAUCCAUCUCUAUCAGAUCUCACUUUGCGAAUAACCGUGAAGGGAUUGACAACCCCUUUGCCGCGUUGGUUGCAAGUUGGUGUUUGUUUGUGCAGGUAUUCGGUGGCUUAUUGCAUUGUCUCCUACUGGAUUGAUACCUUGGUUCUCAAAACUGAGGGAAAUACUUACGCUACUUUGCUGCAUCACCCUUUCCUCUUCAAGGGAAAAAACUGUUGGGGAACGCAGCAUGCAAUUUCAAAAAAAUUCCUAUGCUCACACAAGAUCUAUCUAGGAUAUACAUAGAAACGAGAGGGGGAAAGUGUGUCCACGUACCCUCGUAGACCGAAAGCGGAAGUGUUAGGUUAACACGGUUGAUGUAGUCGAACAUCUUCACGAUCCAACCGAUCUAGUACCAAACGUACGACACCUCCAAGUUCAGCACACGUUCAGCUUAAUGACGUCCCUCGAACUCUUGAUCCAGCAGAGGGUCAAGGGAGAGUUCCGUCAGCACGACGGCAUGGUGACGGUGAUGGUGAUGUGAUCCGCGCAGGGCUUCGCCUAAGCACUACAACGCUAUGAUCGGAGGAGUAAACUGUGGAGGGGGGCGCCGCACACGGCUAAGAGAACAAUUGAUGUGCUAUGGGUGCCCCCUGCCCACGUAUAUAAAGGAGGGGAGGAGGAGGCGGCCGGCCAGGAGGGGCGCGCCAUGGGGGGGAGUCCUACUAGGACUCCACUCCUAGUAGGAUUCACCCCCCUUUCCUUUCUUACUGGAGGGGAAAAGGAAGGAGAGGGAAAGGGGGUGCCACCCCCUCCCCUACUCCAAUUCGGACUGCCAUGGGGGGGCGGCCACCCUAAGGGAGUCCUGGAUUAAGGGGUCCUCGGAUGUCCGGGCUAUGUGACGUGGGCCGGACUAAUGGGCCAUGAAGAUACAAGACAGAAGACUUCCUCCCGUGUCUGGAUGGGGCUCUCCUUUGCAUGGAAGGCAAGCUUGGCGUUCGGAUAUGAAGAUUCCUUCCUCUGUAAACCGACUUUGUACAACCCUAGGCCCCUCCGGUCUCUAUAUAAACCGGAGGGUUUAGUCCGUAGAGGCAAUCACAAUCAUACAUGCUAGACAUCUAGGGUUUAGCCAUUACGAUCUCGUGGUAGAUCAACUCUUGUAAUCCUCAUAUUCAUCAAGAUCAAUCAAGUAGGAAGUAGGGUAUUACCUCCAUCAAGAGGGCCUGAACCUGGGUAAACAUCGUGUCCCCCGUCUCCUGUUACCAUCGACCUUAGACGCAUAGUUCGGGACCCCCUACCCGAGAUCCGCCGGUUUUGACACCGACAUUGGUGCUUUCAUUGAGAGUUCCGCUGUAUCGUCAUCAGAAGGUUCGAUGGCUCCAUCAGUCAUCUACAACAACGCCGCCCUGGGGGAGAUUUUUCUCC
rnacentral:lncRNA from 1 species